rnacentral:rRNA from 1 species
UACGUAGGGUGCAAGCGUUAAUCGGAAUUACUGGGCGUAAAGCGUGCGCAGGCGGCUUUGCAAGACAGAUGUGAAAUCCCCGGGCUCAACCUGGGAACUGCAUUUGUGACUGCAAGGCUGGAGUACGGCAGAGGGGGAUGGAAUUCCGCGCGUAGCAGUGAAAUGCGUAGAUAUGCGGAGGAACACCGAUGGCGAAGGCAAUCCCCUGGGCCUGUACUGACGCUCAUGCACGAAAGCGUGGGGAGCAAACAGG